ensembl:lncRNA
AGCUUCCGGCUUUGGUUUCCCUUAGUCCGCUCCCACCUCUGACGUGAGUCUGACGGGCAGAGCCUGUGAGAGGCCGCACAAGAGCAGGGUCUGCAUCUCUCCCGGCCCCACUAAGGAGAACAGAAGUGGCCGGAAGGAGUCGGGAGUCCCAUAGUUUCCUCUGCUUACUCUGUAUCUUCAGAACCUAUGCUGUGCCUGGAAUGCCAUCGGCACUCAGGAAAGAGAGAGAAGGAAAGUGUCCAGGUCCUGCACACCGUCUCACCUCACAGUGGACCACGUUUUGUCAGAACUCUCCACCAUGACCCAGUGGAACCAGAGAUCAAAUUGCCAACAUCUGUUGGGUCAUUGAAAAAGCAAGAGAGUUCCAGGAAAAUAUCUAUUUCUGCUUUAUUGACUACACCAAAGCUUUUAACUGUGUGGAUCACAACAAACCGUGGAAGGUUCUUUAAAGAGAUGGGAAUACCAAACCACCUUACCUGUCUCCUGAGAAAUCUGUGUUCAGGUCAAGAAGCAACAGAGUUGGAUAUGGAACAACAGACUGGUUCCAAAUCAAGAAAGGAAUACGUCAAGGCUAUAUAUUGUCACCUUGCUUAUUUAACUUCUAUGCAGAGUGCAUCAUGUGAAAUGCUGGGCUGGAUGAAGCACGCGCUGGAACCAAGAUUGCCGGGAGAAAUAUCAAUAACCUCAGAUUUACCACUACCCUUAUGGCAGAAACACUACCAUGCAGAUGACAUUACCCUUAUGGCAGAAAGCAAAGAACAACUCAAGAGCCUCUUGAUGAAAGUGAAAGAUGAAUGAAAAAUUUGGCUUAAAACUCAACAUUCAGAAAACUAAGACCAUGGCAUCUGGUCCCAUCACUUCAUGGCAAAUAGAUGGCAAAACAUGGAAACAGUAACAGACUUUAUUUUGGGG